rnacentral:rRNA from 1 species
GAUGAACGCUGGCGGCGUGCUUAACACAUGCAAGUCGAACGAGGUCCAACCUUCGGGUGAAGACCUAGUGGCGAACGGGUGAGUAACACGUGGGCAAUCUGCCCUCCACUCUGGGAUAACCCCCGGAAACGGGAGCUAAUACCGGAUACUUCGGAAUGGUCGCAUGGCCGAUCCGAGAAGGCUCCGGCGGUGGAGGAUGAGCCCGCGGCCCAUUAGCUUGUUGGCGGGGUAACGGCCCACCAAGGCGACGAUGGGUAGCCGAGCUGAGAGGCUGAUAGGCCACACUGGGACUGAGACACGGCCCAGACUCCUACGGGAGGCAGCAGUGGGGAAUCUUGCGCAAUGGGCGAAAGCCUGACGCAGCAACGCCGCGUGCGGGAUGAAGGCUCUCGGGUCGUAAACCGCUUUCAGUAGGGACGAAACUGACUGUACCUACAGAAGAAGCCCCGGCUAAAUACGUGCCAGCCGCCGCCGUAAAAC